rnacentral:tRNA from 1 species
AUCCUCGUAGCUCAAUGGAAGAGCAGGUGGUUUCUACCCACAAGGUUGAGGGUUCGAAUCCUUCCGAGGGUACCA